UCGCUCCGCACCAUCACCGGACAUCAGCAAUCACGCUACCUUCCAUCCCCAUCCAUUUUCCGGACACUAGAGAUCACGCACCCCUCCGCUCUCUCCUGCAGGCUGCGCCCACUCGCCUCCUCCCCUCCCCACUCCGACGACGGAGCGGCCGGUGUAGCCAGGCAGAGCCACGGCUCGCGACCAGCGUGGCCGGGCCCCGGGCAGGAGCGCGUGAAGCCCUGCGGCGAGCAUGUGGCAGCCCUGAUUCCUGCCCGUAGCUCGACGAUAACCUCAUCGAUCUGCAGCCCCUGCCUCCCCCGCUGCCGCGCCACCCCCACCAGCCAUCGCGGGCCCCUGCCAGCCCGCACACCCCUGCUUCCCCCGCCGUCGCGCCACCCCCACUUGCCGAUCCGCCGCCCCUACCUCCCACGCCGGGCCGCGCGCCCCUGCUUCCCCUGCCGCCGCGCCACCCCCACCCGCCGCCAGGAAUUGCUCCGCCCCGAUCUGCUCCGUCGUGACGUCUUCGUGGCGCCGGCCGGGGUGGUCACCUACCUGGCCAACACCGACGGCCGGAGGAAGCGGACCAGCGGCGGCUCAGCGUGUUCAACGCCAUCGAAGGCGCCUACAGCGAGAACCUGCCCGUCAUCUGCAUCACCGGCGGGCCCAACUCAUCCUCCGCCACACCAUCGGCCUCCUGGACUUCUCUCAGGAGCUCCGCGGCUUCCAGACCGUCACCUGCCACCAGGCGGUGGUGACCAAUCUGGACAACGCGCACAUCAGGUCAGGCACUCAGGCAUGUCCUGGUCACUGACCGCUUUAGGAUUUGUUUGUUUGCUAGCCUAGCAUAGUUUCUUUAAUUGGAAACUCGACCAUUGAUUAUGUUCAGAAGUCCCAGUUUGUUUCAUGUUUUUAGUGCCAUCAGCUUGUGAAUUCAGUGAUUGGCGAUAAUUCUGGAAAUGUCAUGUAUAGUUCUGAACCAGAAAUGCUCUUGCAACACCUAGCUGAUAUACUUGCGAAUUUAGAGAUUGUUGGUGCACCUGGUGAACUAAAGAAAUUGUUACAAGACACAUCGACAUUGUAACCAGUGACAGGUUUACAAUUAAGUGUUAGGUAACCAGUGACUCCGCUUCACCAUCUAAAAAUGCAUACACAGAAUUGUAACUUAUUACAGAUGAACUUGCAAUGUAAGCAGAAUUUGCAACUAACUUCUGAGAGCAAACAUUUUUUUCCUUGUUUUAUAAGCACAAGGAGCAAUCGAGACUCAAGAUUACUAGCAAGUUGCCUCAUAGCUCACUGCACAAGGUCAUUAACAAGGUUUCUUUCAUUAACAAUGUGUCUAAGAAUACAACUUUAAGAUCAAGAAAUAUUAAGAAAUGUUUCUUUCAUGAUCUUUCAAAAUGGUUGCUCAGUUAAGAAUACAUACUGUACAGAGUUAUAUAUUCUUUAAUGCACUAAUGUUCCUAUUUAAUUGUAAUACACGAAUGGAUGCUUCUGGUUCAAGCAACAUAUGAGACACAGCAAUCUAUCAUCGAGGAUGGUAAUAUCCUUGCUUUGAUUUUAUUCAGUUCAAGAUUUCCACAUAUUUAAUUGGCUCAUGAUGAUGUUAAACCUGGAAUGUUACUGCGAGCUAAGGCUGCUACUGUUGAGAAAAAUUUAGCAUGUGCAAACUACAUUUGAAUAGGAAUGUAGCAAUGUAAAGAAAAAGGGGAGGAAUUUUGUGACUUUUUUUUCAGAUCUGAAUUGCUUAGAAAUUUGAAAACAACUGAAACCUGGUGAUUUUCCUCUCAAACAUGUGAAUGUAUUCUAUUCAACAACAGAUGUCCCGGUGAGUGUAUUUGUGUUCUGUACUUGGGGAUUUUUACUUAGGGAUGUGUUUUGUUUUUUUUUUUGGGGUUCAAAAUAGGAGCUGGAGUUUUGUGGUAAGGAGCAUUUCACCGGAAGAGCUAAUGGAAGAAUAAAAUUGCAACUAUGAUGCACCUUGUCUUGUACAUAAGCUUUGUUUUCCUAUUGUAAUGUCAACUAGGCAGGUUAACCCUUUUAUUUGAAAAGCAAAUCAUAAUGAUGCCUGCCACUCCCCACUCAAACAUGAAGUUUGUGUGAAACAUGAAGCCUGUUAUUCUUGUUCUGUCACUAAUUCGUCAAAAACAUGAAAUACAUUUACACAAGAUUCAAUAAACAUGAAGCCUGUUAUUCUUGUUAUGUCACUAAUUCGUCAAAAACAUGAAAUACAUUUACACAAGAUUCAAUAGUGAUGGCUAUUUUUUAUAAUCAGUUUUCUGUACUAUAGGAAGGCACUGGAAUAAGGGUAUAAUGCAUUCCCUGUCGAUAGCUAUUUUUGCAGGUAAUACACAUCAAGUUUUAGUUUAUUUUUCUUCUAAAUAUCUGGAUUUGGCUAGCAAACAUGCAAUGCUUCCAAUCAAUAGGAGCUUACCUUAUGAGAAGUGCAGAGGAACACUACACAUUCUAUUUUUAAUGGGCUUUGGUGGGAGGCUAUUUUAAUUGUUUUCGUUCCUUAUAGUAUAGAUAGAUAUCCACCGUACCCUCUCGCCCACGAGAUUAAGCCAAGUCUAUACUAUUUUGGUUAGGGUUUAAUUUUAGUGCACACACAACCACAUGUGAUUUGCUUGGCAUGCAUGCCGCACAUGGGCUCUGCUAGGUUGGAAAAGGUAUCUUUAAAGUUUCUACAAUGAAUUGUGGUUUGAUUUAAUCUCAAUUGCCAUCACCUUAAUGAAUUGUGGUUUGCUUUUUUCCUUUCAGAGCCACAUGCUUCUUAAUGCUAGGUUUCCAUCAGGUUUGGAGAGCAACACUUGGAUAGCACUUUGGGGGCCAGAUGGAUUCGCUGGAGAAACUGACUGCAUUGCUUGAUGCGUGUAGUGAGCUGGGUGUGGAUACAGGCCCAAGAAUGAUAGAGCUUUGACAAGGAGAAGGAUGUUAACAGUGUGCGCGUCCCUUCUCUAGAGAUGGUUUGUAAAGACUUUCAUGCUUGUAAAUGGCCUUCAGACCUGGCAAACGAGGAUGAGUCUAUUGCUCUUUACUUCGACAAAUUGAAUGACAAGAACCAUGAUGCUAUUGAAGAAGUAAAAAAUAGCAGCAAGCAGAUAUUAACAUUUUCACACUUCGUACCAAGUCGGCUUCCAAGAAUAUGAGAUCACAUAAUAAUUCAAGAAGUAGCCUCCUACACCGCCACUUUUAAAUUGUUUGUACACAAUGAGGCAGAUUCUGCAGGGAAUGAUAGGUGUGAGGAGAUCCACGUGAUAUCUGAGCUAUUUCUAUAGUGAGGCUAAUUUUCAGAUGCGCAAGAUGAAUUUUUCCUUUUAUUAUUAUUCUUCUUCAUGAUUGCCGAAAGAUUAAACCAUUGAAAUAGUGUGUGGAAGGUAGGCUACCUUCUGGAUCAGGGUAAGGAAACUUAACAAGAGUCAUGCUGCUGCUUGGACCACGUAUUAGAGAAGAUCGGCGUGACCUCUGCGGCCAAAGGAGCGGAAUGCUAGCCUGUCGUGAUGAUGACUAUUUGGAGUUUGUAUAUUGGAAUUUGGAAUCACGGGUUUUCCCACUCGUCAAUCCUGUCGUGCCCUUGGUCGACGAAAAUUUUUCUGAUCAGUGGCACAAAAAUUUUUCUGAUCACUGGGGCCGGUGAGAGGUAGGUAGGAAAGUUUUAGGUAAAAGUAUUUCUUGUUUUGUUUUUUAUAGUGUAGAUUUUAGUUUUCUGAUCUUGUUUUCUUCCAAUGGGUGGGAUUUGAUUGGCUCCAAAUAAAUUUAUGUAAACUCUCAUUGGUUAUUCCAUCGCGCAAUAAAUGAGACUUUUUAGUAGUUCGAUGCAA